rnacentral:rRNA from 1 species
GCAUAAUAAUUUGCCUUUUAAUUAGAGGCUAGAAUGAAUGGACAAACGAAGAUAUUACUGUUUCUUAUAAAUAACUAAAAAUUUAUAUUUAGGUGAAAAAGCCUAAAUUCAAUUAAAAGACAAAAAGACCCUGCAGAGCUUGAUAUUUAUUUUCUUUUUCAGAAAUAAAAAUAUUUUGUUGGGGCGACAAAGGAUAAAUUAAAUCAUCCUUAAAAUAUACGGGUUACUUCCCUAAUAAUAGAUCCUAAUAUGAUCAAAGACUAAAGCUACCUCAGGGAUAACAGGCUUAUCUUUCUCAAGAGUUCAUAUCAACAGAAAGUC